AUUGAACGCUGGCGGCAGGCCUAACACAUGCAAGUCGAGCGGAGCGGCGGACGGGUGAGUAAUGCCUAGGAAUCUGCAUGGUAGUGGGGGAUAAGGUCCGGAAACGGGAGCGAAUACCGCAUACUAUCGGAUGAGGCUAGGUCGGAUUAGCUAGUUGGUGGGGUAAAGGCCUACCAAGGCGACGAUCCCUAACUGGUCUGAGAGGAUGAGCAGUCACACUGGAACUGAGACACGGUCCAGACUCCUACGGGAGGCAGCAGUGGGGAAUAUUGGACAAUGGGCGAAAGCCUGAUGCAGCCAUGCCGCGUGUGUGAAGAAGGUCUUCGGAUUGUAAAGCACUUUAAGUUGGGAGGCGUUACCAGCAGAAUAAGCACCGGCUAACUUCGUGCCAGCAGCCGCGGUAAUAC
rnacentral:rRNA from 1 species